UCUGCUCCUAGAGAUGUUGCAGAUGUUGCUGCUGUGUCACAUGUGAUUCAGUAAGUGGCAGAGAGGAGAGACUAUGUGUAGGCUCUGUGUUCAGACUACGAACACCUGAAUGAUUAGUACCCUACCAUU
ensembl:snoRNA predicted gene, 23271